GCCCGCCUAGCUCAAUCGGAUAGAGCGUCAGACUCUUAUGUGCGGGCAUCUGAAGGCUGCGAGUUCGACCCUCGCGGUGGGCU